GGCCGGAUAGCUUAGUGGUUAAAGCAUCCCUACCAGAAAUGGGUGACCCGGGUUCGAAUCCCGGUCUAGCCU
rnacentral:tRNA from 1 species